GAUGAACGCUGGCGGCGUGCCUAAUACAUGCAAGUCGAGCGAACGGACGAGAAGCUUGCUUCUCUGAUGUUAGCGGCGGACGGGUGAGUAACACGUGGAUAACCUACCUAUAAGACUGGGAUAACUUCGGGAAACCGGAGCUAAUACCGGAUAAUAUUUUGAACCGCAUGGUUCAAAAGUGAAAGACGGUCUUGCUGUCACUUAUAGAUGGAUCCGCGCUGCAUUAGCUAGUUGGUAAGGUAACGGCUUACCAAGGCAACGAUGCAUAGCCGACCUGAGAGGGGGAUCGGCCACACUGGAACUGAGACACGGUCCAGACUCCUACGGGAGGCAGCAGUAGGGAAUCUUCCGCAAUGGGCGAAAGCCUGACGGAGCAACGCCGCGUGAGUGAUGAAGGUCCUCGGAUCGUAAAAAUCUGUUAUUAGGGAAGAACAUAUGUGUAAGUAACUGUGCACAUCUUGACGGUACCUAAUCAGAAAGCCACGGCUAACUACGUG
rnacentral:rRNA from 1 species